rnacentral:rRNA from 1 species
GAUGAACGCUAGCGGCAGGCUUAAUACAUGCAAGUCGUGGGGCAGCAUGGUGUAGCAAUACAUUGAUGGCGACCGGCAAACGGGUGCGGAACACGUACACAACCUUCCUUUUAGUGGGGAAUAGCCCAGAGAAAUUUGGAUUAAUACCCCAUAAGAUAAUGAGAUGGCAUCAUCUUAUUAUUAAAGCUUCGGCGCUAGAAGAUGGGUGUGCGGCUGAUUAGGUAGUUGGCGGGGUAACGGCCCACCAAGCCUACGAUCGGUAGCUGAUGGGAGAGCAGGAUCAGCCACACGGGCACUGAGACACGGGGCCGACUCCUACGGGAGGCAGCAGUAAGGAAUAUUGGACAAUGGACGCAAGUCUGAUCCAGCCAUGCCGCGUGAAGGAUUAAGGUCCUCUGGAUUGUAAACUUCUUUUAUUUGGGACGAAAAAAGAUCAUUCUUGAUCACUUGACGGUACCAGAUGAAUAAGCACCGGCUAACUCCGUGCCAGCAGCCGCGGUAAAAC